UCAUAGAAAAAUCAAUACUGAGCCAAGGAUUAUUGGAUCCCAUAGAACCAUGGAGGCGUGGCAGUGAAAUUCUCCCAAAGGCAGACGGUGUUCCUAGGUUUGGAAAUAUAAAUCCCAUGGGAAGUCAGCUGAAGAACAUUUUAUGCAUCACUUAUCCUGUUACGAGCCCUGUGCUGUUCUGUCUCUCUAUAAGACUGGCUGAAACCACAACGGUUGUUUGCAAUCUGCACUCUAACUUUGGAUCACCUAGUUAAUACUCUGACUCUG
rnacentral:lncRNA from 1 species